UUCUUUGGGUAACAUCUUCAACCUCUGUUAAUCUCGCUCCGUCUCUCCCUGCAACAAUCCAUCUCUGCUUCUAAACCCUAACCCCGAACCCUUGAAUCCCUCCUCCUCUGCAGAAAUUUCUGCUUCGGCAGGUGCUGUUUCGCCGCUUCUAAACACGGAACUCUUUUUUUUCUUUGUUCAUUUGUUAAGACCGUUGAUUUUCUCACCAGAGGCGGCGAGAGUGGAAUCUUCAGUAUGAUGCACAUGAUUUUCUGUAGAAAAUCGGCGACGUUGUCGUCGUCUUGAAUUGAGAUUGAUUUUGAGGUUGUCUGCAGAGUUUGGAGCUCCUAAGAGUGGAUCUCCUGAACUGCACUGUAUGCUAACUGAGUAUAUAUAUUCUGAAUCCCAUGAAUUGAUGGCUGGUCCAAAAUACAGUAGCACUUGCUCACAGAAUGUCAUAUAUGAAUGAAAAUUUCCCAUCUCGCUUUUCCUGAUGUCUGAAACAUACAGAUAAUAAUUCUUACCUUUUAAGACUAACAAUUUCAUAUCAGUAUAGGAUUAUUAAAAGCAUCUUGGUAUUUCACAAAUGAUGUCAUUUUAUGUAACUAUAAUUUGCUUCUGCCAAGCUUCCAUCAUUAUGGUACAUGGGAUGGGAAUGGGAACAUGGAAACGGAAAGUAGGUUAGCACAGACAUGGUAUGUAACAAAGGGGUAACUAAAGUAUCAUUGUGCUGUUGAAAAUCCCUAAAAGCAAGAUACUUUCUUAGUCCCUUAGAUCUUAUUUAACUAACCCAGUUUUCUACAAUCAGAAGUUAAAUACUGACAUUUGUAUAUAUGAUAAUGAGAAAAUCUCAUCAUUGUUUAAAAUUUUGUUCAAAUAAUUAUCCACAUUGCUGAACCCCUGCAAUUUGCCAGGGGUUGACAAAUUGCUGCGACUCUAGCUCCGACUUGUGUAGGAGCAUAUUAUAGGGGGUUGGAUAAACUUGUUCAGACCAAGUUUGGAUCACUUUUUUUUAUUCCCUCGGAAGCAAAGAGGGUUUUAUUGAGAUUCUUAUUACCAUUUCUUUGACAGGGUUUCUUUAUAAUUAGAGCAGAGGUAAUUUUUUGAUUUGUGAGACUUUUUCUUAUUUUAUAUUGUGCUAGGAUGCUGUACAUGUAAUUUCAGCAAAUAUAUAUUGUGAAAUUUUGGUCUAUUUGCCUGUGGGAGUGCUGCAGACUUUCUUGUGCAACUGUUGAUUCGACAUGGCACCAGGAGGCUGUCGUGGCCGACUUCCUUCCACGCUAUCGACUACGUCAUCGCACAAGGUUGAUCUAGCGACCUUGAUACCAGCAGAGCAUGCACAUUGGUGGGGUUGCGGCACCAUUUUUUGAGCCAUCUAGAGAUCGGCCAGACAUGGAUACCACAGAUGCUGCUGAUACGCAGGGUGAAUUGCCCACCAUGAUGGGCAGUGUUGCAUCUACAUCCACGGUGAGGUCAAGUCGUGGUGCAGCGAAAAAUGUGUCGCUAAAGAAGCACCUGAAGAGGACUAAGCAGCGGAUUCGGAUCGACAUUCCUCCAAGCUACAUGACCCCGCUUAACGAUUGGUGCACCUUGUGGACCCAGGAGUUCGAUAUUAUAUGUCGACAGUAUGCUCUAUUCACGGCCUUCAGCUGGCUGCAGAUGACUUAAGAGCAGCGCAUGGUUCUGUACAUGCGCAUUUUGGAGGAGUUCGAUAUGGAUAUCCUCGAGGCUGACCAUGUGAAGAGGGCGGUGGACGUCCAACUAUGCAGUAAAUUUAAGAGCUAUCGUUCGAAAAUUCGCGAGCAUUUUUGGGAAAUGGGAAAUCAAGCAAAAGCAUGCCUAUACGAUAAGAUAUCGCAAAAGGAUUAGGAGGUGGUGUGUCUCAAUUUCCGCGACCCACGCUAUCAGGCACGGAUGGUCGAGCUGAGGGAUGUACCUAUUUCAGAGGGGAGUCAGCAAAUAACGGAUUUCCAGAUAACUGCUCAGGUGCUUGAGGAAUAAGCAGAGGCUGGGUGAAAGGUCUUGGAAGUGGAUACAUUGCCCCAAUAGCAUCAUCUAUAAGUGUAGCGGAUCGUGCAGACAUGGAACAAGUGCAUCGAGACGUCGAGUCUUAUGUGGAGGAGAUGGUUCGACGGAUGCAGAUGGUGGAAAUGGAGAACCAAGAAUUUAAAGACAUGAUAUCCACCUUUGCAGUGGAGAACUAGGGUUUGAAACAGGUGAUGUCCACCGUUGUAGUGGAGAACCAGCAAUUGAAAGAUACGGUGUCCACCUUUCAAGCCCAGUUGGAAGCCAUGAUGAAUAGGCAAGCGCAGUUCGAACAAAUGAUGCACCAAUCUCGACCAGAUGAUGUGGGUGGCUCCUUUCAUUAGAAGGGUUUGCGACUGUCAUAACAUCAGCACAAUGUUAUGCAUGCAUGCACCAUAGUCGUUGGAUGCAACUUUUCAUUAUUUCUUUGUAAUUUUUAUUGUUAUUUGAACAAAUGAAAUUUUUGUAUUUUAAUUUGAAUUUGUACUAGUAUUUGUAUUUGAAUUUUAAAUAUUUCAAAAAAAGAAUUUGUUAUCUGAACAUAUGUUAUUUCUUUAUUUUAAUUGAAUUUGUAUUUGAAUUUCAAA